UUAUUUGCGUUAUAAUUUUUGAAGCUUGAUCAUGCCAAAAGAAAUUUUAUAAACAAAAGUUCCGCGAUUCGUGGAUGGACGAAUCGGAAUUAAAGAAUUGGAUGUGUCGGGAUCCCAAGGACCCCGACAAGGCAUAUUGCAAAUAUUGCAAGUGCACGUUAAAUUCCAAAAUUGACCAGCUUCGCGCGCAUGGUCGUACAAAAAAACAUGUGCAAAGGGCAGAGCCUUCCGCACAGGUAAAUAAAAUUCAGUUUAAACCUCUGGCAAGCAAUGUAACUUGCAGACAGGAAGCGGCACUUGCAGUUUUUUGUGCACAACAUUGCGCAAUCAACACUGUUGGCCAUUUGAGCGAGUUGUGUGGGUUGCAAUUUGACGCAAAAGAUAUAAAAUUGCACAGAACCAAGUGCACAGGGAUAAUUAAAAAUGUUUUGGCCCCGCACUUCGAGGAGGAGCUAAAAAAUGAUAUAGGGGAAAGCAAAUAUUGCUUAUUAAUAGACGAGUCAACUGAUGUUUGCAUUAAUAAGAUGCUAGGUGUCGCCAUAAUUUAUUAUAGCCAUCAACGUAUGGACAUAACAUAAACAUUGUUGUCGCUGAUUCCACUUGAAAAUGGAGACGCGGUCACUAUAUCAAACUGUGUAUUGGCAGAAUUGUGUAAACGGAAACUCCCAAUAAAAAACUUGAUUGGAAUCGGUACAGACAACGCAAACGUCAUGGUGGGUAAGAAGAAAAGUGUUUAUGUGGAGUUAAGGAAGACCGUACCGUCCUUAAUUUUAAUAAAGUGCGUGUGCCAUUCAGUGCAAUUGGCGGUUAAUGCAGCUUGUAAGAGAACAUUGCCAGAAUCGCUUGAAUUCAUAAUAAGCGAAACCUACUCAUGGUUUUCAAAGAGUUCAAGUAGACAGAUGGCUUACAAAAGUUUAUAUCAGGUCAUAAACAGUGAUGAAGUUUACAUACAUAACAUUAUUCUUCCAGAUUAUUAAUUUGUGUGUUUGUGUUGCAUUUUAACCACGUACUAAAAGUAUAUGUUGGCUUGAAACUUGUCCCAAGUAAAUGUUUUGUUUUAAAUAAUUCAACUUAUUGUGAAUGUAAUACAAUUAAUUAUGGCUCUCGCAUAUAAUGUUUUUUUUUUAUUCAGGAACCCCUUAAGAUCCCUAGAGUAUGCGACACGAGGUGGCUUUCAAUUGAAAAUGCCGUUAAACGAAUUUUUAGCCAAUGGAAUGAAUUAAAGCUGCAUUUUAAUACCGCAGCGGUAACAGAAAAGUGUCACAAAGCUUCAAUUUUAAGUGUAGUAUACUAUGAGGUCAAUUACCUGUACCUACUAUUUUUAAAGCCUAUUCUGGAAGUUAUGCAGCGUAUAAACAAAAACUUCCAAUCAAAUAAAUCAAACCCCACAAAAUUACUGGGAGACUUAAUUUUUGGAAUUAAUUUCCUAAAAACAAAAGUAAUUCCGCCCGAUUUCCAAAUCGAUAUUUUGGAAGAUGAUUUUGAACUUUAUAUAAAACGCGAUUUAUAUUUGGGAUAGGUAUUAAUGACAUCGCAGAGAUGAGUAUUCGCCAACAUUGCACUGACUUCGUUGUUGAAUUGAUUUCUCAACUAAAACAUAGAUUGCCAGAUUACUUUGAAAUUUUGAAAAAAAUAGAUGCAUUUUCCGUUCAAAAUAUAUUGCGAGCAAAUAAAGACCCAAUAAUUCAAAUAUUGGAGUUAUUUGCAGUCAAUGCCGAAGAAAUUGAGAAAAUUGUAUUUCAAUAUAAUACAGUUCACCUUGUCCAAUGGAAAAAUCAAGAGGAUACCGUAUCGCUUUGGUCUGAGGUCAAUAAGCAUAUGGAUUCUGCGGGCAACAAACAAUUUGAAAGUUUGUCUUUAUUUGCAAUAAAUUUACUCUCGUUGCCAUGGUCGAACGCCGAAGUCGAGCGGGUGUUUAGCCAAGUUAAUUUGGUCAAAACAACGCUAAGAAACAGGCUUCAUAUUGAUACAUUAAAUUCGAUUUUGACAGUUAGGAUCGUCUCUACAAGGAAACAUGUAACGCACUGUGCAAAGAAUAAUCCCUAGUGCACACAGGUAAAUGAAGCGGACGAUAAUGUCUAGUUGCUCGGGACGGAACCGAAAAAUUUAGACGACCCAACAAAAAGGACGAAUCAAUUAUACAGAAAAACAACUUACACAAGAAACACGCACGCAUACACACACACACACAC